GCUCAGUUGGUUAAAUGUCUGACUUCAACUCAGGUCAUGAUCUUAUGGUUCGUGGGUUCAAGUCUCACAUUGGGCU
rnacentral:tRNA from 1 species